rnacentral:rRNA from 1 species
GACCGUGCGAAGGUAGCAUAAUCAUUAGUUUUUUAAUUGAAGGCUAGAAUGAAUGGUUGGACAAGAAAUAAUCUGUCUUAAAUUAAUAUAUUGAAUUUAACUUUUAAGUGAAAAGGCUUAAAUAAUCUGAAGGGACGAUAAGACCCUAUAAAACUUUAUAUUGAAAAGUGAUAGGUACAUUUUGUUUAAAGAAUUAUUACUUUAAAGUAUUUGGUUGGGGUGACAAAAAUAGAAGAUAAAGUAACUGUUUUUUUUUUAUACAAUAAUGUUUGGGUUAGUGAUCCUAAAAUGGAUUAAAGAUUAAGUUACUUUAGGGAUAACA